AGGAAGUGGCUAAUUC
rnacentral:miRNA from 1 species